GAAAAGUCUGUCACUUCAAAUCUGCUCCAGAACCAUUAGGACGUUGACUUCCUGUAGCCCAGUUUGUGCGCUCUGAGCCUGCCUUGGAGAUCUGAAUGCUGUUUUCCUGGGGACACAGGACUUGGUGAGGAUCCCCUGCCUAGGAGGACAAGAAGAACAUUAGUCGCAACAGGGCAACUGUCUGCAGGAGAAACAAUCGUAUCAUCAUGAACCAGUGUGAGGUUCUCAGGGACUACUUACUGAGAGGCUGAAGCUGGCUCACUCACGGGGAUAUUAUCCAAGACAUAUGAGCUAGAGACAGAGAUGUUCAGGCCAUGUUUUAUUGAAUUUGUACUUGCUAAGUCCUUGUCUUGGGGUAAAAAACAAAACAAAACAAAAAGAACCCUGGCUCCCAGUCUUGGUCUCCUGGGUUUAGUUAUGGGUCACCUACUUGUGUGCACUUAGAGAUGUCUGCAAGCUUGCCAGAAUUAUGUCACAUGACCAGAUUUAACAGUGCUAUUUCUGGCUUAAUUCUAUCUGAAGUUCUUUUCAAAUUCUCCAGAUUUGCUGCAGCUGGGGCUUAUUUAUUGGAAGGAGGUUAGAUUGGAUUCCAGAUCUGUCUACGAUUGCCUGCCUCUGAUCAGGUUUGAAGUCAGGCCAAGCCCAAGACCUGACUUGCAAGGAAGACAAUGGCCUAUGCAAGAAGAAGGCAAGCCUCAAAGAGUCAGAGGCUGACUAAGAAGAUGGAUGGUUCCCUUAGAUCUGAGGAGAAGCAGCAAUAAGAAAGAACAGACCUCAGACCUCAGACCCCAGGGGCACAAAGGAGGAAAUUACACAAACAGAGCAUGGGCCGUGGGAUAGCCGCAUCAUCAGAAACUGACCGAGCAGUGACAUCAUGGAACUGGAAUCUCUUCACUUGGAAGAGCUGCAAGUGAGCCUUUAGGAGUGGCGUGGUCAUGGAGUCUCAUCACAGCAAUUAAAACCCUAACUAAGGCACUGGUAGUUCUGAUAUUGCAGAGAAGAUACUCAGGAUUUUCUCUAAGUGAAAAG